rnacentral:lncRNA from 1 species
GUUGGUUCAAUGGUGUACAAAGAUGCUCAGAAUACAAGAAAAAUGGAGUUAAAAUAAUCAAUUCAAAUGUGCUAUUUUCUUAAUUCCCAACAUUUCAUGAGGACUGCUUUGUGUGUUGCCGGUCGACCUGGAUUACACUGAAAGAGGAAGCAGCGGCGCUGGGCCAUGGCUGGCAAGAGGAGAAUUCAGCAGGGUAGCUGGUGACAUCUGAGAGUGGGGAACCAAAACUGGCACCAAAAGAGAUAUCUGCAGCCAGAAAUGAGCAGCAGGUCAACUUUAUUUUUAUCUUAACCAGACAGACUCUACAUGCCAUAAUGAACAGCAACAAGCGAGCUCAUAGCCAUGAACACAGGCUCAGUUAGGACGGAGAGGUCUUCACUUCUUUUCAUUCCAUGCUGUAUCAAUGUCCAUUGCAGAGCAGCAGAAGGAACCUUUAAAAUGAAGAUCAUGCUGUGCCUGGUAGGAUGCACCUGUGAUUCGAGCACUCCUGCAGGCUAAGGCAGGAAGAUCUCAAGUGCAAGCAUGGGCAAUUUAGCCAAUUGUGAGAUGAAUUCAGUGAAUGACAUGGACUAUGGAGAAAAUAAAAAGGAAUGGGACCCAAAAUGCCAUUAAAUAG